rnacentral:rRNA from 1 species
UACGGGGGGAGCAAGCGUUGUUCGGAUUUACUGGGCGUAAAGGGCGCGUAGGCGGCCACCGCAAGUCGGUUGUGAAAUCUCUGGGCUUAACCCAGAAAGGUCAACCGAUACUGCGGGGCUAGAGUGCAGAAGGGGCAACUGGAAUUCUCGGUGUAGCGGUGAAAUGCGUAGAUAUGACAUAGAACACCAAUUGCGAAGGCAGCUUACUACACAAGUUAUUGACACUGAGGCACGAAAGCAUGGGGAUCAAACAGG